AUUGAACGCUGGCGGUAGGCCUAACACAUGCAAGUCGAACGGCAGCACAGUAAGAGCUUGUUCUUACGGGUGGCGAGUGGCGGAGGGGUGAGGAAUACAUCGGACUCUACUAUUUCGGGGGGGAUAACGUAGGGAAACUUACGCUAAUACCGUAUACGACCUACGGGUGAAAGCAGGAGAUCUUGGGACCUUGCGCGAUUGAAUGACCCGAUGUCGGAUUAGCUAGUUGGCGGGGUAAAGGCCCACCAAGGCGACGAUCCGUAGCUGGUCUGAGAGGAUGAUCAGCCACACUGGAACUGAGACACGGUCCAGACUCCUACGGGAGGCAGCAGUGGGGAAUAUUGGACAAUGGGCGCAAGCCUGAUCCAGCCAUACCGCGUGGGUGAAGAAGGCCUUCGGGUUGUAAAGCACUUUUGUUGGGAAAGAAAAGCAGCAAGUUAAUACCCCGCUGUUCUGACGGUACCCAAAGAAUAAGCACCGGCUAACUUCGUG
rnacentral:rRNA from 1 species